AGUGAACGCUGGCGGUAGGCCUAACACAUGCAAGUCGAACGGCAGCACAGUAAGAGCUUGCUCUUACGGGUGGCGAGUGGCGGACGGGUGAGGAAUACAUCGGAAUCUACUUUUUCGUGGGGGAUAACGUAGGGAAACUUACGCUAAUACCGCAUACGCCCUACGGGUGAAAGCAGGGGAUCUUCGGACCUUGCGCGAUUGAAUGAGCCGAUGUCGGAUUAGCUAGUUGGCGGGGUAAAGGCCCACCAAGGCGACGAUCCGUAGCCGGUCUGAGAGGAUGGUCAGCCACACUGGAACUGAGACACGGUCCAGACGCCUACGGGAGGCAGCAGUGGGGAAUAUUGGACAAUGGGCGCAAGCCUGAUCCAGCCAGACCGCGUGGGUGAAGAAGGCGUUCGGGUUGUAAAGCCCUUUUGUUGGGAAAGAAAAGCAGCAGGUUAAGACCCCGCUGUUCUGACGGUACCCAAAGAAUAAGCACCGGCUAACUUCGUG
rnacentral:rRNA from 1 species